GAUGAAGAACGUAGCGAAAUGCGAUAAGUAGUGUGAAUUGCAGAAUUCAGUGAAUCAUCGAAUCUUUGAACGCACAUUGCGCCCCUUGGUAUUCCAUGGGGCAUGCCUGUUCGAGCGUCAUUUGUACCUUCAAGCUUUGCUUGGUGUUGGGUGUUUGUCCCUCGGGACUCGCCUUAAAGUCAUUGGCAGCCAGUGUUUUGGUUUUGAAGCGCAGCACAAGUCGCGAUUCAAGGCUAUCCGCCCGCUUCCACAAGCCUUUUUCACUUUUGACCUCGGAUCAGGUAGGGAUACCCGCUGAACUUAAGCAUAUCAAUAAGCGGAGA
rnacentral:misc_RNA from 1 species